rnacentral:rRNA from 1 species
AGUGAACGCUGGCGGUAGGCCUAACACAUGCAAGUCGAACGGCAGCACAGUAAGAGCUUGCUCUUACGGGUUGCGAGUGGCGGACGGGUGAGGAAUACAUCGUAAUCUACUUUUUCGUGGGGGAUAACGUAGGUAAACUUACGCUAAUACCGCAUACGACCUACGGGUGAAAGCAUGGGAUCUUCUGACCUUGCGCGAUUGAAUGAGCCGCUGUCGGAUUAGCUAGUUGGCGGGGUAAAUGCCCACCAAGGCGACGAUCCGUAGCUGGUCUGAGAGGAUGAUCAGCCACACUGGAACUGAGACACGGUCCAGACUCCUACGGGAGGCAGCAGUGGGGAAUAGUGGACAAUGGGCGCAAGCCUGAUCCAGCCAUACCGCGUGGGUGAAGGAGGCCUUCGGGUUGUAAAGCCCUUUUGUUGGGAAAGAAAAGCAGCAGGUUAAGACCCAGCUGUUCUGACGGUACCCAAAGAAUAAGCACCGGCUAACUUCGUG